CAGGGCUUGACAUGUGGCUGCACGCCCCCUGAAAGGGGGGAAGCCUUCGAGGGUGCCACACAGGUGCUGCAUGGCUGUCGUCAGCUCGUGCCGUGAGGUGUUGGGUUAAGUCCCGCAACGAGCGCAACCCUUGUGGUUAGUUGCCCCUCCCGCAGAAAUGCGGGAAGCACUCUAGCCAGACUGCCUGUGAUAAGCAGGAGGAAGGUGGGGAUGACGUCAAGUCAGUAUGGUCCUUAUGCCCUGGGCUGCACACGUGCUACAAUGGCCGGCACAGAGGGAAGCAAAACCGCGAGGUGGAGUUAAUCCUCAAAACCGGCCACAGUUCAGAUUGAAGUCUGCAACUCGAUUUCAUGAAGCCGGAAUCGCUAGUAAAGGCGUAUCAGCUACGACGCCUUGAAUACGUUCC
rnacentral:rRNA from 1 species